rnacentral:rRNA from 1 species
AUGGAGCCGACCUUGAAAUACCACCCUUUAAUGUUUGAUGUUCUAACGUGGACCCGUGAUCCGGGUUGCGGACAGUGUCUGGUGGGUAGUUUGACUGGGGCGGUCUCCUCCUAAAGAGUAACGGAGGAGCACGAAGGUUGGCUAAUCCUGGUCGGACAUCAGGAGGUUAGUGCAAUGGCAUAAGCCAGCUUGACUGCGAGCGUGACGGCGCGAGCAGGUGCGAAAGCAGGUCAUAGUGAUCCGGUGGUUCUGAAUGGAAGGGCCAUCGCUCAACGGAUAAAAGGUACUCCGGGGAUAACAGGCUGAUACCGCCCAAGAGUUCAUAUCGACGGCGGUGUUUGGCACCUCGAUGUCGGCUCAUCACAUCCUGGGGCUGAAGUAGGUCCCAAGGGUAUGGCUGUUCGCCAUUUAAAGUGGUACGCGAGCUGGGUUUAGAACGUCGUGAGACAGUUCGGUCCCUAUCUGCCGUGGGCGCUGGAGAACUGAGGGGGGCUGCUCCUAGUACGAGAGGACCGGAGUGGACGCAUCACUGGUGUUCGGGUUGUCAUGCCAAUGGCACUGCCCGGUAGCUAAAUGCGGAAGAGAUAAGUGCUGAAAGCAUCUAAGCACGAAACUUGCCCCGAGAUGAGUUCUCCCUGACUCCUUGAGAGUCCUGAAGGAACGUUGAAGACGACGACGUUGAUAGGCCGGGUGUGUAAGCGCAGCGAUGCGUUGAGCUAACCGGUACUAAUGAACCGUGAGGCUUAACCUU